UAUAGAGUUUAGUUUAUUUUUCUUAAUAAAUAAAACAGAUAAAUUGCUAUCUUUCUCUCCUAAAAAAAGAAGAAAGAUUUAAACAGUACAUGUAAUAGAUGGCAAAAUAGGUUGUUUAAACUUAGUUAGAAAUAUGAAUCAACUAGGAUUCGAACUUGGGGCCUCGGAUACCAACCAUCAAACUCUUUGCCACUUGCGGUAGGAACGGUCGAUGUAACUCUAUAGAUAUGAUUUGAAAAUAUGUCAGUAUUUUAUGACGCGAACAAUCGUGCUGGAAUCACUAGUUAUAUUCCUAUGUUGAAAAUCAUAUUAGUCACAUAU
rnacentral:lncRNA from 1 species